rnacentral:tRNA from 1 species
AAAGAAUUAGUUAAAUAAAUAACAUAAAUAUGUCGAAUUUAAAUUAUUACUAAGUAAUAUUCUUUU